rnacentral:rRNA from 1 species
AACUCGAGUGCAUGAAGCUGGAAUCGCUAGUAAUCGCGGAUCAGAAUGCCGCGGUGAAUACGUUCCCGGGUCUUGUACACACCGCCCGUCACACCAUGGGAGUCGGAAAUGCCCGAAGUCUGUGACCCAACCAUUAAGGAGGGAGCAGCCGAAGGCAGGUCGGAUGACUGGGGUGAAGUCGUAACAAGGUAUC